UGGCUCAGUAGGUAGAGCAUGUGACUCUAGAUCUCAGGGUUGUGAGUCCAAACCCCAC
rnacentral:tRNA from 1 species